rnacentral:rRNA from 1 species
UGGGGAAUAUUGGACAAUGGGGGCAACCCUGAUCCAGCCAUGCCGCGUGUGUGAAGAAGGCCUUAGGGUUGUAAAACACUUUCAGCGGGGAAGAUGAUGACGGUACCCGCAGAAGAAGCCCCGGCUAACUCCGUGCCAGCAGCCGCGGUAAUACGGAGGGGGCUAGCGUUGUUCGGAAUUACUGGGCGUAAAGGGCGUGUAGGCGGCCUGCCAAGUCAGAUGUGAAAGCCCCGGGCUUAACCUGGGAACUGCAUUUGAGACUGGCCGGCUAGAGGUUGGAAGAGGAGAGUGGAAUUCCCAGUGUAGAGGUGAAAUUCGUAGAUAUUGGGAAGAACACCAGUGGCGAAGGCGGCUCUCUGGUCCACACCUGACGCUGAGGCGCGAAAGCGUGGGGAGCAAACAGGAUUAGAUACCCACGUAGUCCCUGAGCGGGCUGGCAAGGCGCAU